rnacentral:rRNA from 1 species
AAAUUGAAGAGUUUGAUCAUGGCUCAGAUUGAACGCUGGCGGCAGGCCUAACACAUGCAAGUCGAACGGUAACAGGAAGCAGCUUGCUGCUUCGCUGACGAGUGGCGGACGGGUGAGUAAUGUCUGGGAAACUGCCUGAUGGAGGGGGAUAACUACUGGAAACGGUAGCUAAUACCGCAUAACGUCGCAAGACCAAAGAGGGGGACCUUCGGGCCUCUUGCCAUCGGAUGUGCCCAGAUGGGAUUAGCUAGUAGGUGGGGUAACGGCUCACCUAGGCGACGAUCCCUAGCUGGUCUGAGAGGAUGACCAGCCACACUGGAACUGAGACACGGUCCAGACUCCUACGGGAGGCAGCAGUGGGGAAUAUUGCACAAUGGGCGCAAGCCUGAUGCAGCCAUGCCGCGUGUAUGAAGAAGGCCUUCGGGUUGUAAAGUACUUUCAG